rnacentral:lncRNA from 1 species
UUUCUCUCUCCUCGUUUCACUUUCUCACUCUAUAUAAUACUCACUUUUUCUUCUAGAUCUAUUAAGUUUUAGUCCUCUAAUCUGUCUUUUAAGUACUAUCACACAACCAAAUGCCUCAAGAUCAAGAUCAAGGAAGGAGAACGAAAUGAAGUUGCUUCAAGUUCUACCAAUACAUAACAAAAUAUGCUAGCCAUGUAUGGAGCAUCAUUUGAC